CCUACGGGAGGCAGCAGUGGGGAAUAUUGCACAAUGGGGGAAACCCUGAUGCAGCGACGCCGCGUGAGUGAAGAAGUAAUUCGUUACGUAAAGCUCUAUCAGCAGGGAAGCAACACUGACCUUACGGUCAGCAGACGGUACCUGAGUAAGAAGCCCCGGCUAACUACGCGCCAGCAGCCGCGGUAAUACGUAGGGGGCAAGCGUUAUCCGGAUUUACUGGGUGUAAAGGGAGCGUAGGCGGUGCGCCAAGUCUGGAGUGAAAUGCCGCAGCUUAACUGCGGAACUGCAUUGGAAACUGGCGAACGAGAGUGCGGGAGGGGUAAGCGGAAUUCCGAGUGUAGCAGUGAAAUGCGUAGAUAUUAGGAGGAACACCGGUGGCGAAGGCGGCUUACUGGACCGUAACUGACGUUGAGGCUCGAAGGCGUGGGGAGCAAACAGGAUUAGAUACCCUAGUAGUC
rnacentral:rRNA from 1 species